CAGUCGCCGCGGUAAAACGUAGGUGGCAAGCGUUGUCCGGAAUUAUUGGGCGUAAAGCGCGCGCAGGCGGCCUAUCCAGUCUGUCUUAAAAGUUCGGGGCUCAACCCCGUGAUGGGAUGGAAGCUAGUAGGCUAGAGUAUCGGAGAGGAAAGCGGAAUUCCUAGUGUAGCGGUGAAAUGCGUAGAUAUUAGGAAGAACACCAGUGGCGAAGGCGGCUUUCUGGACGAAAACUGACGCUGAGGCGCGAAAGCCAGGGGAGCGAACGGGAUUAGAUACCCCCGUAGUCCCUGUCUCUUAUACC
rnacentral:rRNA from 1 species